AAAGCAGAUCGCCUUAUCGCUGCUUCGCUUAGGUGAAGUAGAGGAAAGUCCGGACACCAUAGGGCAGCAUAGUGGGUAACGCCCACCGGUCGAAAGAUCAGGACAAGUGCAGCAGAAAGUAUGUACAGGUAAUGCUGUAGUGAAACCAGGUAAACUCUAUGCGGUGCAAUGCCAUGUAUACCAGCUUUUAAGGGCGGCUCGCUCGUUGUUGGAGGGUAGGCAGCUAAAGAUUUUUGGCAACAAAAAUUUCAGAUAAAUGAUAAGGAUCUUAGUUUUACUGAGAUACAGAAUCCGGCUUAUAGAUCUGCUUUUUUA
rnacentral:RNase_P_RNA from 2 species